rnacentral:rRNA from 1 species
UACGUAGGUGGCAAGCGUUGUCCGGAUUUACUGGGUGUAAAGGGCGUGCAGCCGGGAAUGCAAGUCAGAUGUGAAAUCCCGCGGCUCAACCGCGGAACUGCAUUUGAAACUGUGUUUCUUGAGUACUGGAGAGGCAGACGGAAUUCCUAGUGUAGCGGUGAAAUGCGUAGAUAUUAGGAGGAACACCAGUGGCGAAGGCGGUCUGCUGGACUGCAACUGACGUUGAGGCCCGAAAGCGUGGGGAGCAAACAGG